rnacentral:lncRNA from 1 species
CUCUUUUUGCACUGAAUGCCUGGGCCUGGCGCCAGCCUGGCUGGACUUAAAUUAUUUUACGACAAGAAAUUCCAGAGUCACGUGGGCGAGCCUCAAAGAAGAAAUGAAAACCCCCAACCCAAAUUCCUCCAACACACUGGAGACAAAGGAAACCUUUUGUAUAAGUUCCUUACUUUCAUUUUAUUAUUAAUAUGUAUUAUAAAUAUGUUUAUGGAUUGCAUAAAAUGGUUAAUCCUUGUUAUGUGAAGAGUAUAAGUUGCUAAGCUUAUACUUUAGGAAAUGUUCUCCUCAGCCUGGCUUUUUCUCAAAUAGUCAUGUGUAUGUAACCCCCACUUUUGCAGGUCGUAAAACUUUACGACCACCCUGGACAAACAGGAGAGGAGAGAAGCCAAAUCACUGGUUUCUUUUCCCCAAUGCAUUCUAUGGAAUGUAUUCAUUACCUUUUUGUUUUUAUGUUUAUAAAUGUAUAACGUAUUCCCUUUUGGUACAUUUAGAUGUUUCCCAUAUAAAUUGGGACGAUUUGCAGUGUUAUCAUGUGUUAAUCAAAUCUUUAAAUACAGUAUUGUUCAAAAUAAUAGCAGUACAAUGUGACUAACCAGAAUAAUCAAGGUUUUUCGUAUAUUUUUUUUAUUGCUACGUGGCAAACAAGUUACCAGUAGGUUCAGUAGAUUGUCAGAAAACAAAUGAGACCCAGCAUUCAUGAUAUGCACGCUCUUAAGGCUGUGCAAUUGGGCAAUUAGUUGAAUUAGUUGAAAGGGGUGUGUUCAAAAAAAUAGCAGUGUGGCAUUCAAUCACUGAGGUCAUCAAUUUUGUGAAGAAACAGGUGUGAAUCAGGUGGCCCCUAUUUAAGGAUGAAGCCAACACUUGUUGAACAUGCAUUUGAAAGCUGAGGAAAAUGGGUCGUUCAAGACAUUGUUCAGAAGAACAGCGUACUUUGAUUAAAAAGUUGAUUAGAGAGGGGAAAACCUAUAAAGAGGUGCAAAAAAUGAUAGGCUGUUCAGCUAAAAUGAUCUCCAAUGCCUUAAAAUGGAGAGCAAAACCAGAGAGACGUGGAAGAAAACGGAAGACAACCAUCAAAAUGGAUAGAAGAAUAACCAGAAUGGCAAAGGCUCAGCCAAUGAUCACCUCCAGGAUGAUCAAAGACAGUCUGGAUAUUCUUCUAUCCAUUUUGAUGGUUGUCUUCCGUUUUCUUCCACGUCUCUCUGGUUUUGCUCUCCAUUUUAAGGCAUUGGAGAUCAUUUUAGCUGAACAGCCUAUCAUUUUUUGCACCUCUUUAUAGGUUUUCCUCUCUCUAAUCAACUUUUUAAUCAAAGUACGCUGUUCUUCUGAACAAUGUCUUGAACGACCCAUUUUCCUCAGCUUUCAAAUGCAUGUUCAACAAGUGUUGGCUUCAUCCUUAAAUAGGGGCCACCUGAUUCUCACAUGUUUCUUCACAAAAUUGAUGACCUCAGUGAUUGAAUGCCACACUGCUAUUUUUUUGAACACACCCCUUUCAACUAAUUCAACUAAUUGCCCAAUUGCACAGCCUUAAGAGUGUGCAUAUCAUGAAUGCUGGGUCUCAUUUGUUUUCUGACAAUCUACUGAACCUACUGGUAACUUGUUUGCCACGUAGCAAUAAAAAAAUAUACGAAAAACCUUGAUUAUUCUGGUUAGUCACAUUAUACUGCUAUUAUUUUG